rnacentral:rRNA from 1 species
UACGUAGGGGGCAAGCGUUGUUCGGAGUUACUGGGCGUAAAGGGUGUGUAGGCGGUUCCUUAAGUUUGCUGUGAAAUCUCCCGGCUUAACCGGGAGGGUGCGGUGAAUACUGAGGGACUAGAGUACGGGAGAGGAAAGUGGAAUUCCUGGUGUAGCGGUGAAAUGCGUAGAUAUCAGGAGGAACACCGGUGGCGAAGGCGGCGACCUGGUCCGAUACUGACGCUGAGGCGCGAAAAGCGUGGGGGAGCAAAACAGGG